rnacentral:rRNA from 1 species
CAGUCGAACGAUGAAGCCCAGCUUGCUGGGUGGAUUAGUGGCGAACGGGUGAGUAACACGUGAGUAACCUGCCCUUGACUCUGGGAUAAGCGUUGGAAACGACGUCUAAUACCGGAUACGAGCUUCCACCGCAUGGUGAGUUGCUGGAAAGAAUUUUGGUCAAGGAUGGACUCGCGGCCUAUCAGCUUGUUGGUGAGGUAAUGGCUCACCAAGGCGACGACGGGUAGCCGGCCUGAGAGGGUGACCGGCCACACUGGGACUGAGACACGGCCCAGACUCCUACGGGAGGCAGCAGUGGGGAAUAUUGCACAAUGGGCGAAAGCCUGAUGCAGCAACGCCGCGUGAGGGACGACGGCCUUCGGGUUGUAAACCUCUUUUAGCAGGGAAGAAGCGAAAGUGACGGUACCUGCAGAAAAAGCACCGGCUAACUACGUGCCAGCAGCCGCGGUAAUACGUAGGGUGCAAGCGUUGUCCGGAAUUAUUGGGCGUAAAGAGCUCGUAGG